GCCCGCAUGGCUCAGUGGUAGAGCGUGUCACUAGUACUGGGGUUUCUUUCAAAGUUCCUUGGUUACUGGGGAAAUGACAAGGUCGCUAGUUCGAUUCUGGCUGUGGGCA